GGAAUAUUGGACAAUGGGCGGAAGCCUGAUCCAGCCAUGCCGCGUGCAGGAAGACAGCCCUACGGGUUGUAAACUGCUUUUAUACGGGAAGAAUAAGGGGUACGUGUAACCCGAUGACGGUACCGUAAGAAUAAGGAACGGCCAACUCCGUGCCAGCAGCCGCGGUAAGACGGAGGGUCCAAGCGUUAUCCGGAAUCAUGUGGUUUAAAGGGCCCGCAGGCGGGCAAUUAAGUCAGGGGUGAAAUGGUGCGGCUCAACCGUAGCACUGCCCUUGAUACUGGUUGUCUUGAGUGAUGGUGAAGUGGCCGGAAUAUGUAGUGUAGCGGUGAAAUGCAUAGAUAUUACAUAGAACACCGAUUGCGAAGGCAGGUCACUAACCAUUCACUGACGCUGAUGGACGAAAGCGUGGGGAGCGAAC
rnacentral:rRNA from 1 species